UUACGGACGGGUCAGUUGAUCUGAACUCAGGAUCACUCGUGUUACACUGCAAUCGCGUGUCGCCCUUAGAGUUUGAUCCUGGCUCAGGACGAACGCUGGCGGCGUGCUUAACACAUGCAAGUCGAGCGAGAACCUCAGGUGGGGUAACCCGCCUGAGGGGAGAGCGGCGAACGGGUGAGUAACACGUGGGCAACCUGCCCCAGACACUGGGAUAACUCCGGGAAACCGGGGCUAAUACCGGAUACUCCGGCUGGAUCGCAUGGUCCGGUCGGGAAAGCUCCGACGGUCUGGGAUGGGCCCGCGGCCUAUCAGCUUGUUGGUGGGGUAACGGCCUACCAAGGCGAUGACGGGUAGCUGGUCUGAGAGGACUGACAGCCACACUGGAACUGAGAUACGGUCCAGACUCCUACGGGAGGCAGCAGUGGGGAAUCUUGCGCAAUGGGCGAAAGCCUGACGCAGCGACGCCGCGUGGAGGAUGAAGGCCCUCGGGUUGUAAACCCCUUUCGGCGGGGACGAAGCGAAAGUGACGGUACCCGCAGAAGAAGUCCCGGCUAACUACGUGCCAGCAGCCGCGGUAAGACGUAGGGGACGAGCGUUGUCCGGAUUGAUUGGGCGUAAAGCGCGCGCAGGCGGUCGUGCAAGUCGGUUGUGAAAACCCGGGGCUCAACCCCGGGCCUGCAUCCGAUACUGCUCGACUAGAGGCAGGUAGGGGAGAUCGGAAUUCCUGGUGUAGCGGUGAAAUGCGCAGAUAUCAGGAGGAACACCGGUGGCGAAGGCGGAUCUCUGGGCCUGUCCUGACGCUCAGGCGCGAAAGCUAGGGGAGCGAACAGGAUUAGAUACCCUGGUAGUCCUAGCCGUAAACGUUGGGUGCUAGGUGUGGGCGGAUAUCGACCCCGUCUGUGCCGAAGCUAACGCAUUAAGCACCCCGCCUGGGGAGUACGGCCGCAAGGCUAAAACUCAAAGGAAUUGACGGGGGCCCGCACAAGCGGCGGAGCAUGUGGCUUAAUUCGAUGCGACGCGAAGAACCUUACCUGGGCUUGACAUGCGGGGUGAAGCCGGUGAAAGCCGGCGCUCUACGGAGCCCGCACAGGUGGUGCAUGGCUGUCGUCAGCUCGUGCCGUGAGGUGUUGCCUUAAGUGGCGCAACGAGCGCAACCCCUGUCCUUAGUUGCCAGCGGGUAAAGCCGGGAACUCUAGGGAGACUGCCGGUGCCAAACCGGAGGAAGGUGGGGAUGACGUCAAGUCAUCAUGCCCCUUAUGUCCAGGGCUGCACACAUGCUACAAUGCGUGGUACAAAGGGUUGCGAUCCCGUAAGGGGGAGCGAAUCCCAGAAAGCCACGCUCAGUUCGGAUCGAGGUCUGCAACCCGACCUCGUGAAGUCGGAGUCGCUAGUAAUCGCAGAUCAGCAAUGCUGCGGUGAAUACGUUCCCGGGCCUUGUACACACCGCCCGUCACACCACGAAAGUGGGCAACACCCGAAGCCGGUGGCCCAACCGCAAGGAGGGAGCCGUCGAAGGUGGGGCUCGCGAUUGGGGUGAAGUCGUAACAAGGUAACCAAGGGCGACACGCGAUUGCAGUCUUGAGUCCACCUGAA
rnacentral:rRNA from 1 species